AUUGAACGCUGGCGGCAGGCCUAACACAUGCAAGUCGAGCGGAUGACGGGAGCUUGCUCCUUGAUUCAGCGGCGGACGGGUGAGUAAUGCCUAGGAAUCUGCCUGGUAGUGGGGGACAACGUUUCGAAAGGAACGCUAAUACCGCAUACGUCCUACGGGAGAAAGCAGGGGACCUUCGGGCCUUGCGCUAUCCGAUGAGCCUAGGUCGGAUUAGCUAGUUGGUGGGGUAAUGGCUCACCAAGGCGACGAUCCGUAACUGGUCUGAGAGGAUGAUCAGUCACACUGGAACUGAGACACGGUCCAGACUCCUACGGGAGGCAGCAGUGGGGAAUAUUGGACGAUGGGCGAAAGCCUGAUCCAGCCAUGCCGCGUGUGUGAAGAUGGUCUUCGGAUUGUAAAGCACUUUAAGUUGGGAGGAAGGGCAGUAAGCUAAUACCUUGCUGUUUUGACGUUACCGACAGAAUAAGCACCGGCUAACUCUGUGCCAGCAGCCGCAGUAA
rnacentral:rRNA from 1 species